rnacentral:lncRNA from 1 species
GUCAUUCUAUUAAAAAAAGCAUUACAGUCCAGCUCAUUUCAGUGUUUUCUUAGUUAAAUCCAGGGAAGCCCAAUUAGUAAUCAUUACAGCAGUCCAUUACAAAAAGAUUAACGAAAGUUAAAACAGAUUUUGUUAAGACAUGCAGCCAAGGCGGUGAAAGAAGAAACCAGAGAAUCAUGGGAUGAUCCAUCAUAGCGUCCUAGCGAUCAUCAAUUAGUUUAACUGGAGAAAUAGAGAAUCAGAAAGCCUUCAUAGUAAAGUGAGUGGCAGAUCGAGCUUACAAAAUGUUUUGUGUUUGGGUUAAUAAUAUAGAAGCGGUUACUAUCAAUUCCUCAGUCAUCCCCAUCUUCUCCAUCCUUGCUGCAGAGUUUCUUCUCCAUGUUUUCUGCCUCUUCUUAAUCUCUUCCCCUGAUUCUACUGCUGUUUCUCCUGACUUCACCAACCACAUCUGCAUAGGAUAGGGGGAACAAAGAUUUUUACAGCAAUACCAAGAGGACAGCGUUGGAAAAAAGGUAGGAGACAAACCUAGUAACUCGGUGUUGGUGAUGGCAAGCGAGAGCAGCUGGCCAUAAGAACGGAACCGGAAGAUCUCGCCAGGGAAAGGGUUGAGUGUUGCUGCAAUCUCAGUGAUUUGGUUUUGUCGUUGAAUCGGAUGGAAACAUGUAUCUCUGUCCUCUUGGUA